AUACGGAGGGGGCAAGCGUUGUUCGGAAUUACUGGGCGUAAAGGGCGCGUAGGCGGAUUGUUAAGUUAGAGGUGAAAGCCCUGGGCUCAACCUAGGAACUGCCUUUGAAACUGAUAAUCUAGAGUCCGAGAGAGGAUGGCGGAAUUCCCAGUGUAGAGGUGAAAUUCGUAGAUAUUGGGAAGAACACCAGUGGCGAAGGCGGCCAUCUGGCUCGGUACUGACGCUGAGGCGCGAAAGCGUGGGGAGCAAACAGGAUUAGAUACCCCAGUAGUCC
rnacentral:rRNA from 1 species